UGGCGGACGGGUGAGUAAUGUCUGGGAAACUGCCCGAUGGAGGGGGAUAACUACUGGAAACGGUAGCUAAUACCGCAUAACGUCGCAAGACCAAAGCCGGGGGACCUCCGGGCCUCGCGCCAUCAGAUGAACCCAUAUGGGAUUAGCUAGUAGGUAAGGUAACGGCUCACCUAGGCGACGAUCCCUAGCUGGUCUGAGAGGGUGACCAGCCACACUGGAACUGAGACACGGUCCAG
rnacentral:rRNA from 1 species